GACAUACACCGGAAACAUCCAGAGAUGGGUGCCCCCUUGUGGUCGGUGUACAGGUGGUGCAUGGCUGUCGUCAGCUCGUGUCGUGAGAUGUUGGGUUAAGUCCCGCAACGAGCGCAACCCUUGUCCCGUGUUGCCAGCAGGCCCUUGUGGUGCUGGGGACUCACGGGAGACCGCCGGGGUCAACUCGGAGGAAGGUGGGGACGACGUCAAGUCAUCAUGCCCCUUAUGUCUUGGGCUGCACACGUGCUACAAUGGCCGGUACAAUGAGCUGCGAUACCGUGAGGUGGAGCGAAUCUCAAAAAGCCGGUCUCA
rnacentral:rRNA from 1 species